UUGAAUAAAGACUCUUUGCUUUUGCAUCGGAGAAAAGGCUCCCUAGUGGUUGAUUAUUGGGGACCCUGAACUCUGGGCAUAACAUUUGGGGGCUCGCCCGGGGCUCCCCAAUACCCACGAGGGACCCGAUCCGAAGAGUCUGACUGCUGACUGACCGCGGAGGCCAUCCAGGCUUUCAGCUCACAAGAAAUCUUCUCCUGCGAGAGGAGAGAGGGACCCCCCAGAAGGGGCUGGAGGCUCUCCCUCUCAACAGGGUCAGGAAGAAACUGAAAGCUGGAAUUCAUAACCAUUCCCUUACUCAAGUCCUUACAGGCUCUGCAGUAUACCCAGAGAGCCACCCAUAAGCUUGUUCGUGAUGCUCUGCCAGUGCCCACUGCGGACCCUGUACAUCCCUUCCAGCCCAAGAACUCGGUAUGGGUAAAGAAGGUCACUGCCCAAGGACUCACCCCAACCUGGGAGGGAUGCUACACUGUUAUCCUUAGCAC